GGCAGUUUAAUUGAGGUUGAGAAAACUCUCAAAAAGCCGUAUUUCCAGAAAUAAUGAAGGUUCUCCGUCUUCUCUAUUCUUAAGGUUUAUGAAACCUAGAAGUCAAGACUUCUAUUUUAGGACUUAUUAAUAUAAAGGGUUAGAUCCCAAUUUACCCAAAACUUUAGGAACCCAUCAGCCCCUCAGAUCUGAGGCCAGCUGUUCCUUAGAGGACUAAAGGCCAAUGUUCAACACCUCCCUAUGCUGGGGCCGUCAGAUUUAGCUCAUCAUCAUUAUCAUCAUCAUCAUCCUCAAACACAUUCAAAUGUGUUGCAAGGCACACUUAUAAUAAAAAAUUACUCACUGCUUAUCUGACAUUCAAAUUUAACUGGGCACCCUGUAUUUUAUCUGACAACCUUACCCCAAGCACACAUACCUCAGCCUUUCUUUCUAGGAAGCUUUCAUAAAGACACCCAUUGAAUGGUUCAUGAAAACCUCCAGCUUCAGGCAUUAGUGGUGCAAAAGCUUAGAUCUUUGAUUUCUUAGCACCACAGGAAAGGGGAAUGGCAUUUUUCAGGGCUUCCAAUUUGCUAACUCAAGCAGAAACUCUGAAUUCAGAAUCUACAUUGACUCUCAGCUGUGUCCCUUGAUCCUUGAUCUUCAGGCUGGAUCCUGUUGCCAGCAGCAACUCCAGGAGCAGGAGGAUUCUGCAUCAGUCACAGACCAGCCCAGAGGAAGAAACAGUUAAUUUAUCUGAACUUUGGUUUCCCUUUCCCAUGGGAACCUAGAGAAGGACUUUCCCUAUAUUCCCCACCUCUUUGGGCUUCAGCAAAAGAAAAUGGACCUCAAGGGAGUCUUCAAGAGCUGCUUCAAAAUUUACUGUUCAUCAAAGCACUUGCUGAAGACUGGCUUCGUUUCAGAGGCUGUGCUGAGUGUUACGGAGAAGGAGGUGAAGGAGAUAAGGUGCUUACCAUGAAGGAGAGGUGGCCGCAUGAAUGCAUCGUUUUAAUACAGUGCAAUAAGUGAGCUACACUCCCUUCAAUGAGGCUCAGAACUUAAUUUCCGACGAUGUAAUUCCCGCCUCAGAAGAUUCUAGUGUGUCACAGUGGGAUCACAAUGCUACCUUAAAGAUUUUCCUCGUGAAACUGGAAUAGAAUUUUCGCCUUCUAUUUUUAUGUUUGAAACAUGUUAACAUUUUUAAAAAUUGCCUUUCUUGUUGGCGUUUUUAUUGAUUCUUUCC
rnacentral:lncRNA from 1 species